rnacentral:lncRNA from 1 species
GAAAUUUUGGGAUCAAUUUCAUUCAGAUCUGAGGCGAGUAGCUAGGGUUUCCGCCAGCCGGAACACGGCGGCUUAAGGGCCAAGCCCCGAUAGAAUUCAGAAUACCCUCUCCACAAGCCAGAGGAGGGUUUAUAAAGCGAAUUCAGAGCUAAAAGUAGAAAGCGACAGGUUCAUCAGGUAAAAGCAACGCGGUAACUUUUAAAAGUAAGUUGACAAUGGUCUGAGCCGUCCAGAUGAAGAUCUACGGCUGAAAACGCAGCUCGGCAGCGAAGCAGUAAGUUCUUCUAAGCUUCAUUGGAUCGCAGAUCGACGGUUGACACGCAUCCAGGCAAAACUCAAUGUCACUGUGCUUCAUCAGGUGAUCUUCUACAGUUACCUGGCCUGACAAUUCCCCCCGACGAAGAACAGACUUGCCCUCAAGGAUGGAAAUCAGGGAAUACUUUCUGAAUGAAAGCCGCAUCUUCCCAGGUGGCAUUCUCCACUUGUAGAUUGAGCCACUUGAUACGCCAUUGCACUACUGGAAUGCUAAUGUCUCCCUGGACUCGUGGGAUUAGCCUUCAUUCAAGCAGAGCUUAAGGCUGAAUGAGGAUGUUACCAUGUUCAUCUAGGAGAGGCAAUUUAGGGUUAGGUACAGCUUCAGGACCAAUGUGCUUCUUGAGUUGGCUUACAUGAAAAGUGGGAUGAAGCUGACAACCCUCAGGCAGGAGGAACCUAUAAGCCACAACUCCAAUUCUCUCCAUGACUCUGAAAGGCCCAUAAUAUUUGGAGUGAAGUUUCAGGUGUUUGUGUAUGCUCAAGCUGGUGUGUCUGUAUGGUUGCAAUUUGACAUAGACCAUAUCUCCAACAGCAAGUUGUCUCUUAGAUCUCUUCUUGUCUGCAAAGAACUUCAUUCUCUCUUGUGCUUUGAGUAAAUUGUCCUUGAUCUGUUGGGCUAUUGUGUCCCUGUCUAGUUCAGCUUGGUGAUCCUCACCUUCCACUGGUGGUAACAUUAACUCAGCAAUCAGGGGGAGGUCUGGCAUACAGAGCUUGAAAAGGAGUCAUUUUCAGUGAUGUGUGGAAUGUGGUGUUGUACCACCAUUCAGCCAUGGAAAGCCAAGUAUGCCAUUUCUUGGGAUGAGCAAAAGUCGUGCAUCUUAAGUAAUUCUCAAGACAUUGAUUUACUCUCUCCGUUUGCCCAUCUGAUUAGGGGUGGUAGGAAGUACUCAUGUGUAAUUUGACUCCCAUUUUAUUGAACAAGUGCUACCAGAGAUGACUAGUGAAUAUCCUAUCUCUGUCAGUUACUAUGACUGUAGGCAGUCCAUGUAAUCUAAAUAUGUUGUCAGUGAAAGUUUGUGCUACUGUCUUUACAGUGAUGGGGUGUCUCAUGGCCACAAAGUGAGCAUAUUUAGUGAAACGAUCAACCACAACCAGUAUCAUGUCUUUGUGUUCAGAUUUGGGCAGCCCUUCCACAAAGUCCAUGCUAAUGUGGGUCCAAGCAAAAUCUGGAACUAGGAGGGGUUGUAACAGGCUAGGGGGUGCACAUGUUGUGCCUUGUUCAAUUGACAGACAGGGCACUGCUGAACAAAGGUUUGCACUGCCUUCCUCAUUCCAGGCCAAGUAAAAAGGAUUUUCAAUCUGUGAUAAGUUGCUCUUUCCCAAGAGUGUCCUCCUAAUUCAAACUUGUGAAAAGAAGUGAGCAAGGAAUUUUCCAGUUCACUGUUGUUGCCAAUCAUGAUUUUUCCCUUAUACCCAAGCACUCCACUAGUGAGAGUAUAGGGAGGUUGGCCAGUUGGAUCUAUUGCAAGUUUAGCAAUUAAGUUAGAACAUUUAGUGUCUCCUUUGUAACUAUUCACCACUUCAGAAAUCCAAGAGGGAAUUGCAGUGCUAGAUCCCAGGGCAUUUAGAGCAUAUUUAACUCUGGAGAGAGCACCAGCUACUCUGUUUUCCUUGCCUUUCUUGUAUUCCACUGUGAAAUUGUACCCCAUGAGUUUAAUGAGGAGUUUGUGUUGAACCCCUUCAGUUACUUUUUGCUCCUGUAUGUAUUUCAAACUCUGCUGGUCAAUUCUGAUAAUCAGAGAGGAUGAAGCAAAGUAGUGUUUCCAUUUCUUAAGUGCUUCAUUGAUUGCCAGUGCCUCUUUGUCAUAUGUGGACCAGCCAGCAGCUUUAGGGCCUAGAGCUUUGCUCAUAUAUGCAAUGGGCUGUCCCUUUUGCAUUAACACUGCUCCUUUAGUUGUUGGGAAGAAAUCAGGAAAAGUGGUCAUUUGUCUGUCAGUCCAUUGAAAUCCUUCCUUUUUCAAUGCAUCAAACAAUGGCUUGCAAAUCAGUGCAUAAUUCUGAACAAACCUCCUGUAGUAUCCAGCUAAUCCCAAGAAACUCCUCAAGUGUGUCACAUUCUGAGGUGUGGGCCAGUUUACUAUGGCUUCUAUUUUUGCAGGAUCUGUGGAGACUCCCUUGUCAGUAACCACAUAGCCCAAAUACUCCACUUUGUUUUGUGCAAAGGUGCACUUAGAGAGCUUUGCAUAUAGCUGAUGUUUCCUGAGUUCUUCCAAUACUAGGGCUACAUGUUCCAAGUGUUCCUUGUAUGUCUUGCUAAAAAUGAGGAUAUCAUCAAAGAAAACUAGCACAUAGUGUCUCAGUAAUGGCCCCAAUACAGUGUGCAUGAGUUCUGUAAAGGUGGGAGGGCCAUUUGUCACUCCAAAAGGCAUUACCAAGAACUCAAACAAACCAAUGUGUGUGCUAAAAGCAGUUUUCUCCAUGUCUCCUUCUUUCAUUCUGAUUUGAUGAUAACCACUUUCAGAUCCAGUUUGGUGAAGAUUUUUGCUCCAUUCAAUUCAUCCAAAAGAUCCUCUAUCAUGGGUAUGGGAUAUUUGUUUUUGAUUGUGUGUGCAUUCAGUUUUCUGUAAUCAAUGCAUAGCCUCCAAGUCAUGUCCUUUUUUUUGACCAAAAUAGCAGGAGAGGAAUAUGGACUGUGACUUAAUCUGAUAAUCCCUUUUUGGAGAAGAUCUUUAAUGAUUUCUUCCAAUGCAUUUUUCUGAUGAUGUGGCAAUCUGUAUCUUCUCUGAUUUAUAACUGGGGCUCCAGGUUCAAGGUUAAUUGCAUGGUCACAUUCUCUUUGUGGAGGUAAACCAGUGGGCCCUGCAAAAACAUCUUUUAAGUUUUCUAAUAUUGUAGUAAUUCCAGGUUUCUGCACAGAGUUAUGUAUGGUUUCCAGUUGCACUGGUUGCAUCCACAUCAAAGCUCCAGUAAGCAUGUCAUCUAGUAUGUUUUCCAUGACUUGCAGUAUAGGAGUGCAAGGGUUAGUGGGCAAACUCUCAUCCAGGAAGGUGGUUUGGUACCCAUUGGGUUGUCUGAUCCCCAACCUCAUGUUAGGCAGAUCAAAAGUGACAGGGUUGUGCUUAUACAUCCAACCAGCUCCAAGUAUGAUAUCAUAUCCAGUGAGUUUCAACAUCCUGAAAUCAGAUACCAAUUCUACUCCUUGGAUGUUGUACUUGAUGUUGUGGAGAGAAAAAUCACUGUAUAAUUUGCUACUGUCACUUGGACUUGUUUUACUGCUGUGGCAGGGCAUCCAGAUUGUAAAGCAAGAGCAGGGGAGAUGAAAGUAGUAGUGCUUCCACUAUCCACCAAGGCUAGACCCACUGUUUUUCCAAUUUGGACCUGGAGAGUAAAAGUAUGUUCCUUUUUCUCUUCAGGUACUCCUGUAGUUGCAUGCAUGGAAAUUUUGAGCUCUUGGUUAUCAAGAGGUUCUUCAUCCCCAUAUGAUUGUAGCUCCUCUGCAUCUACUAUGUAGAUAAUGUCAGGGUUUUCUCCUUGUUCUUGCAGUGCCUGAACUUGUGCUUUUUGUGACAUCUUGCACACUUGCUUGUGCCCUGGGAACCAUGGUUCUCUGCAUUUAUAACAAAUGCCCUUUUCUCUAGCUUGUUGUAUAACAGAAGCAGGAAGUACAGGUUUAGAUAUUUCUCGUGUAGUUCCUCUUGUGUAGUUCGGCACAUAGGGUUUCUGAGUAAUGGCAGGAGGACAAGACUUUUCAAUUCUUCUGGCUAACCACAUAGCUUUGUUCAUGUCUGUAGGUUCUAAACAUUCCAGGUGACUUUGGAUGUAAGUGUUUAGCACAGCAAUGAAACUAUGCAUAUAAUAGUCAUCUGGUACUGCAGGGUUGUCCCUCCUCAUUAAGUUCAUGUGUUGUUAAAACUCUGUUAUAUACUGAGCAACUGAAGUUGUUGUGUUAACUUGUGAAAAGCUUUCACAUUUUCACAUACAGACGUUACUGCAAAUCUUUGUGUGAUUGCAGAGCAGAACUUGUGCCAAGGAGUAUGAUUGGCAAUGAACCUUGUACCUCUCCACCAUUGGAUAGCUUCUCCAUCGAAUUCAGCAAUGUUUAACUUUGCAGGUUUAACACAAAAGAGAUUUCUUCGAACUUCAGGUGUAAAAGGUAUGUUCUUUUCUCUUCUGACCUCUGCUUCAGGUAAUUCCUCCACUGUCAUGAAAUGUUUUGUGACCUGGCCUUGUUGUUGCUGAGGGGUGUGGAAUUCUUGCUUGUUGGUUAGGGUGCCUAUAAGGACCCUUUGGCGUGCCAUCCAUGUUCAUCUCUCUGUCUGUUGCUUUGUCAACUAGAACAGCAAAUCCCCCAGUUGCAGGAUCAUGUUUAUCAGUGGCAAGGUGGUUGUUUGGUAGUUGCUUUGGCCUUCCUGGAGGAACAGUCGUGCUUCCUUGCCCUGACAGUAGAUCUGGUCUUUCUUCCUCCUCUUCUUCUUCGUCAACUGACUGCUCUGCUGUUAACUUCAGCAAGGACUCUGAAUUUUCUUGAAGUUCUUAUGUAUGCUAGCGAAGUUCUUGUUGACAUAGUUUGUGAAAUGGUAGAAUUCCUUUCUGUCUUCCUCGCGUUCUUGCCGAAGUGUUUUUAUGUCAAGUUGCAGAGAUUCAAGCUCCAAACAAUUAGUAUAUUGCGUCUCACCUGCCAUGUCUUCAGGUGUCUUGUUGGUCAUUCCUUGAAGAUCUGGUCCAAGGGUGAACUUGGGAGGGAGUGGGAAGGGAUUUUACGCCGGUUGCCCAGCAACCAAACACACAAUCUCAAAUUUCUCCAUCAGAUCGGAGUAGAAACUGCAUCGCCGGAACGAGCAACACUGAAAGGGAGGGUUGGGUGGGAUUUUCUACUGAAGAAAUUUUCUUCAGAAACCACUGCUCUGCCUUUCUGCUGCCGAACGAUCUCCGCCGCCGCAACAGAUCAGAGCCCAGAUUGGAUCUGGAGCUCAAUUCUCGCCUCCAAGGACUACAACCUACGCUCUGUAUACCACUUGAUAGACACUAGUUGUUCCUGUCACUUGCUCAUCUCAAAAACAAAGGAAAAUCAAGCAAAUUGCGGGGAAAUUUUGGGAUCAAUUUCAUUUAGAUUUGAGACGAGUAGCUAGGGUUUCCGCUAGCCGAAACACGACAGCUUAAGGGUCAAGCCCUAAUAGAAUUCAGAAUACCCUCUCCACAAGCCAGAGGAGGGUUUAUAAAGCGAAUUCAGAGCUAAAAGUAGAAAGCAACAGGUUCAUCACGUAAAAGCAACACGGUAACUUUUAAAAGUAAGUUAACAGCGGUCUGAGCCAUCCAGAUGAAGAUCUACGGCUGAAAACGCAGCUCGGCAGCGAAGCGGUAAGUUCUUCUAGGCUUCGUUGGAUCGCAGAUCGACGGUUGACAUGCAUCCAGGCAAAACUCAAUGUCACUAUGCUUCAUCAGGUGAUCUUCUACAGUUACCUGGCCUGACAACGCAUCUCCUGCAAUAUUUAAAA